rnacentral:rRNA from 1 species
CCAUCUCAGUUCGGAUUGCAGGCUGCAACUACGCCUGCAUGAAGCUGGAAUUGCUAGUAAUCGCGGAUCAGCAUGCCGCGGUGAAUACGUUCCCGGGCCUUGUACACACCGCCCGUCACACCAUGAGAGUCGGGAACACCCGAAGUCCGUAGUCUAACCCGCAAGGGAGGGCGCGGCCGAAGGUGGGUCCGGUAAUUGGGGUGAAGUCGUAACAAGGUAUC